rnacentral:rRNA from 1 species
AGUUCGGAUUGAAGGCUGAAAUUCGCCUUCAUGAAGCCGGAAUUGCUAGUAAUGGCAGGUCAGCAUACUGCCGUGAAUACGUUCCCGGGCCUUGUACACACCGCCCGUCACACCAUGAGAGUUGGGAAUACCCGAAGCCUGUGAGCUAACGUAAGAGGCAGCAGUCGAAGGUAGAAUCAAUGAUUGGGGUGAAGUCGUAACAAGGUAGC